rnacentral:rRNA from 1 species
CCUACGGGAGGCAGCAGUGAGGAAUAUUGGUCAAUGGCCGGAAGGCUGAACCAGCCAAGCCGCGUGAGGGAGGAAGGCGCAGAGCGUCGCAGACCUCUUUUGCCGGGGGACAAAAGGCCGGACUCGUCCGGUCCUGAGGGUACCCGGAGAACAAGCAUCGGCUAACUCGGUGCCAGCCGCCGCGGUACUACGGAGGAUGCGAGCGUUAUCCGGAUUUAUUGGGUUUAAAGGGUGGGCAGGCGGGCCUUUACGCCGGCGGUGAAAUCGCGGUGCUCAACCCCGCCGAGCCGUCGGAACUGGGGGCCUUGAGUGCGGCGGAGGCAUGCGGAAUGCGCGGUGUAGCGGUGAAAUGCAUAGAUAUCGCGCAGAACCCCGAUUGCGAAGGCAGCGUGCCGUGCCGCCACUGACGCUGAGGCACGAAAGCGCGGGGAUCGAACAGGAUUAGAUACCCGGGUAGUC